rnacentral:rRNA from 1 species
UACGGAGGGUGCAAGCGUUACCCGGAAUCACUGGGCGUAAAGCGUCCGCAGGUGGCAGUUCAAGUCUGCUGUCAAAGACCGGGGCUUAACUUCGGAAAGGCAGUGGAAACUGAACAGCUAGAGUAUGGUAGGGGCAGAGGGAAUUCCUGGUGUAGCGGUGAAAUGCGUAGAGAUCAGGAAGAACAUCGGUGGCGAAGGCGCUCUGCUGGACCAUAACUGACACUCAGGGACGAAAGCUAGGGGAGCGAAUGGG